rnacentral:tRNA from 1 species
CUUUCGAUAACUCAGCUGGUAGAUCGGAGGACUGUAGGCUCUGGCCCGCGGCCAUCCUUAGGUCGCUGGUUCGAUUCUGGCUCGAAGGA